CCAAUAGCGUAUAUUAGUGUUGUUGCGGUUAAAAAGCUCGUAGUUGAAUUUCGGGAUUGGGAUAUAUCGGUCGUGCCUUUAGGGGCAUGAAUCAGUGUGUGGCCAAUUCUCGCCUUCUGGUGAAUUGGGAUGCUCUCGGGUGUUUCAAUGAACUAGGACUUUUACUUUGAAAAAAUUAGAGUGUUUAAAGCGGGCAUUUU
rnacentral:rRNA from 1 species